rnacentral:lncRNA from 1 species
AAUUUUGCAUGCAUCAAAUUUAUUCAUUCUUCUCAUGAAUUAUUUCUCCAUCCUUGAGGAGAGGAAAACCUCAUCAUAAGUAGAUUGACAUUCAUGUAUAUAGUUGAAGUCAUACUUAAUCAUAUUUUUGUUUUAUUGGAAAUGAUAAAAGGUGCACUAAAAGCUUAUGACAAUCGCUGAAAUUAACAUACAGCUUUUAGUAUCACCCAAAUUACAUAUCUCCUUUUGGUUGGUGUUUGUCUUGUUCACGAGGACCUUCCCUUCUUGAUUUGCAUUCAUCAAAGCCUGCUUGAAGUGCCCUCUUUAUCAUAAAGUCCAUAUAGAGAUUCUGUGCUUUCACUCUCCUAUCGACGAGUUCCUCUAUCUGCCAGUUAUAUAUAAAAAGCCAAUAUAGAAGUUAGUAAACAUGCCAAUUAUACAUCAUACAAGUCAACCAAGGAGUCGGUGCUAUUGCAUGGAAAAAAGAGUUCGCUGAAUCUAUAUCAUAAUUGCUAAGCUAUAGAUAAUUUGAGAAGAUAUAGAAAUGUACUAAAACCUCUUAAAGUAUAAGGGUAAGAGAAUUCAUGAAGUUAUCAUCUACAAGAUUAAUCUUGAUAUUUAGGAGGCAUAAACAUAAAUUCCCAAUCACUUCCUAUUUCAACAAAGAUGAAAUCAAGUUGAAGAUUUUGAUGACCCAAUGCUUCAGGCUUGAAUUCCAAUGUUGGAAAUUAAAGCUCUCAUAAGGAUUUGCCAGCAUAAGAAAUAGUAACUCUUACUAAAGCGAGAUAUUAACCUAAGCCAAUCAAGUGCUUUUGUAGAAUAGUUGGAGAUCCAUGUGGCGGUGUAAGAGCACUGCCACGUUAUUGGAAUUAAUACUAAAGUGUUCGAGCUUAUGUCUCUUUCAAUGUGUUGUAGAGGAUUUCUUCAGCAAAAUGGUUUUGAAGGUUAGGUCAUUUGAUCCUCUUUUAGACUCCUUUUGACUAGCGAUGAGGCGCUUAGUGAUUUAGGAGUUUUGGGCUAGUGCUUUAUAUUAUGUUACUAUAGCAAGCAAACCAUCCAUAUACAUACAAAUAUACACAUGCACGUAUACACGCGCGCGUGCACUCCUCUGAAGCCACCUACGAACUAGUGGCUUGUUUUUUGGUAGAUUACUAAAUCUAUAUCAGGAACAACUAUGAGUUUUACAUGAGUAUAUUUAAAUAUGAUAGUUGUAAUAUUCAUACAUUUGUUGACAUUUAAGCAUGUAUCACUGUAGUGUCGCUAUUCGAAGAGUACUACAUAACCUUGUAGAAGGUUAUCAAUUCCUAAGAUAAGAAAAAAGAUUAUAAUUAAAUCUAUUUUGUUGAAAUUAUCGCCAAUCUUUGUUUUAGUAUUCAAAUGAUAUCUCAAUCUUGGUUCUACAUAUCAAUUAAGUCUUGAGAUAUUUCUGACCUCUUCAAAAUUUCAUUGCCUUUCACCUUGGCUGACUUAAAGACAUGUUAUCAGCUACUUAUUAGGAUGACUAAUAUAUAUAUGGAAAGACAAGUAUUUUGAUAAAAAAUAAGUAGGAAGACACAUGCCUAAUAAUUGGUGAUAUUAGAAAUAUCUUAAAAAUUGCUCAAAUAAAUUCCUAAGACAGAAAUUUAGUAGGAGUCUAAAUGAGAAGGACCACUUUCUAACCAAUUCUAGGACUUUUACUUUUCAUUUUAAAGGAAAUAUUGGUUGUGUGUGAGGCGCCGAUGCACAAAAAAAAAAGAAAGAAAAUAUUUUGCAGCUCGAACAAGAUCUAAAUUUAUUUUUUAGAAGAAGAAAAGGGAUGAAAAAACAUAGAUUGAGAAUGUUUUAAUUACUUUUGUGAUGCAUACCAUAUAAUUAGCAAGAACUAUAAUGCACAAUGAGAUUGACACAUUGAGAAAUUAGGCCCAUAAGAUCUACAUCCAUGGUGAGAUUUACCAGAUUUAUAUGGGAAUUAUAUGGUAUGAUGAACGAAGAUGUGUUCUAAAUGAAUUGCAUAUAUAAGUGGCCAUGGGUAGGACCCUGAAUAAUUAUGCACCCUAGAUUUUCUCUCGUUUUUAUGGCAGGAUGAUUGGUAGCAUAGGUGCCCAUGGACCUCAAAUAUCCCUUGGAGGCCUCCUUAUUAAAACCCCCCUUUUCACAGGCUCUCAAGAACUAUUAGUUAUCUUAUUAAGAGUAAGGAUUAGCUUAAAAAUAAUAUGAAAGACUAGCUAUUUUAUCAACACUAGAAGUUACCUUUUCUUGCUCCUCCAUAUGAACUCUUUCAUUCUCAUUAGAGUGAGCAUGCUUCGAAGAAAAACCCUUCUCCAUGGAGCUCAUGGUUGCUG